CAGAGAAGCUGUGAGUCUGUUCAGCAGGAGGAAGAGGAGCUGAGAGCUUCAGGGAGGAGCUGAGCUGUUACUGAACUAUAGAAGAGACACAAACUUCCACAUUCAACACAGUUCAAACAUUAACUCUGAUCAUCAUGGACUAUUAUGGACUUUCUCUGCUGGUCGCCUCACUGCUAACAGGAAUCCGCUGUGAAGGACUGACUGCGGUUAAAACAGAGAUCUCCAGCUUAGAGGGCAGCUCUGUCACUCUGUCCUAUAAUUAUCCCAACCUGCAACCAGGAGAUUAUUUCUUCUGGUACCGUCAGUAUCCAGGAGAACCUCCAGAGCUUCUGAUCUCUCACUCUGCUUCAGGAGAUGAAGGAAUUAAAAAUAUUCCUGAACUGAAGAUUGAAGUAAACAAAACCCAGAUGGACCUGCUGAUCUCCUCUGCUGAGCUGACAGACUCUGCUGUGUACUACUGUGCUGUGAGGCCCACAGUGACAGGAAACACCAGAUCUCUGUACAAGAACCUGCAAUACUCUACAGCAUCCACUAGAGGGCCUCACACACUCAUUGAGAAGAUUUCUAAGAGCAGAUACAAUAUAUAUGAGAUUAGAUUAGAUUGAACUUUAUUGUCAUUGCACAGG